rnacentral:tRNA from 1 species
GGCCUCGUGGCCUAAUGGUUAAGGCGCCAGAUUUCGGUACACGAAAACCUCUGGAGAUUCGGGGUUCGAAUCCUCGCGGGGUCG